rnacentral:rRNA from 1 species
CAUAACGACUCUYGGCAACGGAUAUCUCGGCUCUCGCAUCGAUGAAGAANGUAGCGAAAUGGGAUACUUGGUGUGAAUUGCAGAAUCCCGUGAACCAUCGAGUCUUUGAACGCAAGUUGCGCCCGAAGCCUCACGGCCGAGGGCACGCCUGCCUGGGCGUCACGCA